ACUGCUCUUCUUAAUUUGCCUACCAGAUUUUUAGAAACUUCAGUAUAUUCAAACAAAAUUGUCUCAACUGCAUUGUCUUUGUUUCUGAUUUGGUACAUGAUUUUAAGAAGAUAAUUGUUUGAAAGGACUAGUUUGGCGCUAAAUUAUUUGGUACCAUCAUUCUUGGAAGAAUUGAAAUUGUAGUGCAAAAGUAAAAUGUUAAAAACAAUUUAUCACGAUUUCAAUCCAUCGAUCAGCCUUCUCAUGCCAGUCUAUCCUAGGUCAAAGCCGCUCAGGCUGUUUAUCUCCUUGGAGACUAUGAAACGACUGUUCCUGACAGAAAACCCCGAUUAGCAGCAUAACUUUCAACAUAGUUUUUUCAAAAAAAAAGUUUCAAUUCCAAUUACGCCCGUCCAAUCCUUGUGUGCCAGUGUCCCUUGGUGGGACAAGUUUCUGAUCCUAACAUAAGAUUGACAAGUGUUCGAUUAGAAAGACAGCGUUAUGUGCAACCAAAGUGUUCUAAAUUUCCUCAAGCAACUUGAUUGGUAUCCUUCUAAAGAAACAAAAUUAACCUGCAUUUGUGGUUGGAGUCUGGCGGCAAACAUCAGUCUUUCAGUAGCUCUCCGAGACCACGCUGUUAGAGCGCCACACUGCACUUCAGCUAGGACCGAUCUUGGUAAGAGGCUGAAACUCAGUUUGCUCAUGUUUUUCCACCACUCCCAGCGGCAAAUCAAGAAUGUACCCUUUGCAAUUGUAUGGGCUCUUUUGAACUUUGUGCGCUCAGAUGUCGAGAACGAGGUGAAAUGUAACAGUUGUAGCAAACGCGAGUCAUUUGAUGCUGUUUUUUGUCACGAUAUUUUGCUUGCAUCCCACGAGAUAUGUUUUCGUCAACUAGGAAUACAGAAUUCAUUUAUUACUGAAUUUAAAGAGGAGCUUCUGAGUGAACGAACAAUGCUCUCCUGGUGUAGCAAAAUGAGUAGCAAGAUGCCAGGUGAGCUGCAAGUGACGAGACCCAUCUAUCAUAACUCGUACCGCCUAGAUCCUGAUUUCGAGUUCCCAAACAUCGAAAACUACCCUGUUGAGGCUCCAAUUGGAAAUGCCAAUGUGAACAUAACCUACCAUGAUGCUCUAAAUCGGCAAGUUAAUGAACGGGUCUUUUUUGAGAAGGCACUGAGAGAAAUUGAAGACCAUCCGAUAAGGAGCCGAUCUGGCUAGAACUCAGCAACUUUCUCUGAAGAUGAUACGACAGAGGAUGACGAGACAUUACCACAUGUCCCGGACGAAAUAGAGGUGGAGACCGUGUAGCCGUUCCAGGCCUCGUUCGAGGAGUCGGUGGUCUUGAGGAGUGUCUCUGACUUCGAGGAGUUCUCGAGCAGUGACGAGGAAUAGAACACUACAUUGGCCGCUAUUGCGAUCGGGCACAUGCGCGGGUACGUUAUGGUCUGGAUCGGCCAUAUAGACUCUAGUGACGACAAUUGGGCAAGCGGGCGCAGUCGCGGAAGAGCAGCGCCAUUGAGUUUGGCAACGUCACUCGCCGGGACUAAUCUUCCAGGCCGCGGUCGAGCAAAAGAAACGCUGAGUCAUCCCAGCCUGGGGUCGGACCCUCAAAAGGUCCGAAAGGCUCAAAAUCUCAAAAUAUUAUACUAAAAUAUUUUGACUUAUUUUUUUUUAGCUGUCACUCAUAAGCGCUCAUCAGUGCAGUCACUCAUCAGUGCUCUUCCCUCGCUCUGAAUUUUCAAUCCUCUCUACCCUCAUCUAGUGUUGACGAGUCCCAAAGGUUCAAAAUCUCAAAUUAUAUUACUAAAAUAUUUUAUGACUAGUUUAUUGGAAAACUGUUUUUUUUUGUGCAAAUGCCGUCUCAGUAUCUUGGUGCUACACUAUGCCUACCCACAAUAUGCCUACCCUCACUUAUCAGUAAAGGUUCAAACUCUCAAAUCUCAAAAUAGUAAAAUAUUUUGUGACUAGUUUAUUAGAAAACUGUUUUUUUUUUCAGUGCAAAUCGCCGUCUCAGUAUUUUAGUACUACAUGCAAAUGCUGUCAGUCAGCUCCCACUCUACGACCCUCAUAACACACUUUUUAUCAGAGACAGAAAGCCAGUCAUCAGCCAUCUAGUAAUUUUUUCAAUUCAAACUAAUUUUACCAAUUAUUUUAUGACUAGGUUUUUAUUAGAAAACUGUUUUUUUUUAGUGCAAAUGCUGCCAGUCAGCUCCCUCUCUACCUCAUAGUACAGUAUUUUGUCAGAGUCACAAAGGCAUUCAUCAGCCAUCUAAGUGCAAAUGCAGUUAGCCUGAUUCCGCCUCAGUACUUCAAUUAGGUCUCGCCUCAGUCAGAUCCCGCUUCUCUAGCUCAGUAAACAGUGCCAUUUUCCAGUCAUACAGUGUCUAUUUUUUUAGCUGUCACUCAUAAGCGCUCAUCAGUGCAGUCACUCAUCAGUGCUCUUCCCUCGCUCUGAAUUUUCAAUCCUCUCUACCCUCAUCUAGUGUUGACGAGUCCCAAAGGUUCAAAAUCUCAAAUUAUUUUACUAAAAUAUUUUAUGACUAGUUUAUUGGAAAACUGUUUUUUUUUGUGCAAAUGCCGUCUCAGUAUCUUGGUGCUACACUAUGCCUACCCACAAUAUGCCUACCCUCACUUAUCAGUAAAGGUUCAAACUCUCAAAUCUCAAAAUAGUCAAAUAUUUUAUGACUAGUUUAUUAGAAAACUGUUUUUUUUUCAGUGCAAAUCGCCGUCUCAGUAUUUUAGUACUACAUGCAAAUGCUGUCAGUCAGCUCCCACUCUACGACCCUCAUAACACACUUUUUUAUCAGAGACAGAAAGCCAGUCAUCAGCCAUCUAUGCAAAUGCUGCCAGUCAGCUCCCUCUCUACCUCAUAGUACAGUAUUUUAUCAGAGUCACAAAGGCAUUCAUCAG